rnacentral:tmRNA from 1 species
UCGAAAUUUUACAAGGUUGCUUCAGGAUAAAUCCUGCCUUUGGGAGUUAUCCUGAAAAAGAUUAAAAUAAAGGCUAAGUAUGUAGAUGCUCUUUAUGAACUCUUUGGGGACGCGGGUUCGAUCCCCGCCACCUCCACCA